GCUAGAGGAAGGGCUCUGACUCAGUGGUAGAGUGUCUGCUUGGCAUGCAGAAGGUCCCAGGUUCAAUCCUCGGCAUCUCUAGUU
rnacentral:tRNA from 1 species